rnacentral:misc_RNA from 1 species
GCCGCGAACUUCCCCCACGGCCGCUGGCGCACCCCGCGGUAGUGCUUCCCCUUCGACGGCGCCGCCGGAGGGAGAACCGCCGGCGCAGCCGGCGUCGGUUUCAGCUCCGGCUCAGCCGGUGCAGGCUCUGAGAGGAAGAUGAGAUCGGUGGCGGCGGUGCCGUCGGGGGACCAGCCAUGGGAGAAGGCGUCGCGGAGAGUGCCG